GUCUGCUUAUCCAUCCGCCUUUGCCUGGGGAAGUUAUUAGGUCUUCUCUUCUCAGUUAUUUCGAACAUUGCCGGUUUGUCUUUCCCUUACUAUAUCUCCGUAUACAAGACAUGCCCGAUUUGAGCUUCAAUCAAACAUUUUAAUUAGUAUUCAUCGUCUUUUUUUUUUUUUUUUUUUUUUUUGAUAAUUAUUUCAAUUUGUUAUAAUAUUAUUAAUAUUAUGAUCCCAUUGACUAGUGGUUAGUGCCGUACGUUAAUAAAUUAUUAUAAUAAGUAUUCUUAUAGCCUUUGAACGACGUAUAAAUAAUAUUGUGUCCUAGUUUUGGUUCCUAUGUGUUGAUUUGUAAAUAGUAUAAAUAGUAAUGAUUUCAAUGCUUUAGUCUUGAUUACGAUACAAAAAAGUCAAACAAAUCCCGUUUCGCUGAUACCUGAAUGACAGUUAAUUGAAUGUAUCAAAUUGUUGUCUACACUAACAUCAUAAUAUUUUCACGUCAUAUGUAUGGAAAAUGAAAUACUCGUACUUGAUACUUAAUACCUGUACUACGAUUGUUCGAAGUUGGAUAAUGUCUGAAAAAUACCCAUUUGUAUAGGUUCUCUUCGUGAAAAAAUUUCGUACUCUGCAGAUAAUAUUAGUUACCGAUAAUUUCGCGUACGCACAACUUAGUAAUGAUAAAAACGGAAUUAAAUAUUACGGUAAUUUAUCCAACAACGAUUUCCGUUAUUUACUUGUUUUUUUUUUUUUUUUUUUUUUUUUUGGUCAUUCGAUUUAAAAUAACCAUAAAGACCAAACAUAUUACCGAAUACUUAGUAAUAUUGGCAUUUGGCACUUUUGGCGUUGUGGUAUAAUUGAAUAACAUUUAGUUUAGUGUUUUACUAAAAUUGUCCUAUUGCCCUUAGAAUUCAGCAAAAUAUAAGGUUAGAAGCUAACCGUUAAUAGCUCACUGGUAAAGUAAUAGCCCAGCGAGCGCGAGUCUCUUGAUUCGAUUCCCGGUCAGGCCGCUGAUAACGCAAUUUUCCAGACGAGAAACGGCCGCGUCAAUUUCAUCGUUUGUUCUGUCAUGUUUUUG